rnacentral:rRNA from 1 species
AACGAACGCUGGCGGCAGGCUUAACACAUGCAAGUCGAACGCAUCCUUCGGGGUGAGUGGCAGACGGGUGAGUAACGCGUGGGAACGUGCCCUUCAGUUCGGGAUAACCCAGGGAAACUUGGCCUAAUACCGGAUACGUGCGAGAGCAGAAAGAUUUAUCGCUGAAGGAUCGGCCCGCGUCGAAUUAGCUAGUUGGUGGGGUAAUGGCCCACCAAGGCGACGAUCAGUAGCUGGUCUGAGAGGAUGAUCAGCCACACUGGGACUGAGACACGGCCCAAACUCCUACGGGAGGCAGCAGUGGGGAAUAUUGGACAAUGGGCGCAAGCCUGAUCCAGCCAUGCCGCGUGAGUGAUGAAGGCCUUAGGGUUGUAUAGCUCUUUCGUCCGGGACGAUAAUGACGGUACCGGAAGAAGAAGCCCCGGCUAACUUCGUGCCAGCCGCCGCAGUAA